rnacentral:miRNA from 1 species
CCUACCUGCAGAAAGGAGCUACCCACUCCAGGUGUCCUCUCUGCUGAGAGCUAGACAUCUGUGAGGACGGUCUGCCUGUGGACAGG